rnacentral:tRNA from 1 species
GGGGGUAUCGCCAAGCGGUAAGGCACCGGUUUUUGAUACCCGGCAUUCCCUGGUUCGAAUCCAGGUACCCCAGCCA